AGCACCUACCGAGGCUCUGCAACUUUCUAAAAACUGUUCUUUCCAUUACAGUUGACACACAUUGUAUUAGCUUCAGGUACUCUCGACUUUUUUUUCUAGCAAGGUGGAAAGCCUCCCUUUGUUCAAAUUACCCUGAUUUCUAGUGUGUAGCAGGAGAAUUGGCAUGAAAAUAAACAUCAUCAUUUUAGGGUUUGUGGCACAUAGUUUAAUCCAGAUUGGAUACAUCCGUACAGCGGUGGCACGUGACUCGAUACUGUAAAUGAUACACAUUUUAACAUACGCACUACAGUUGCAAAAGAAGACGACGGGAAACCCAAGAGUUGUUUUUUUUUUCCACGGAAAGUUUGCAUGUUUAUCUUCCUGCAGUUUUAUACAGUAUUCUUUGCCAUUGUGAUGUCGGAAAGCAAAGCCCGUUUAUUAUAUGAAAAUAGAAAAGAACACACUUGAUGUUUUUCACGAUAACAUUAGUGGGGGAGUGACCUCUAAGGAGAACAUUACAUUGGAAUGUCUGGUUAUCAAAAAUAUACCAUCCCUCCCGCCUCCCAGGUUUGUAAAAUAGUCUGUCGGUCCAAGGAGCCCCCCAGGACUUGGGCUAGCGCCCCACACUGGUUGGGGUGACAGCGUCCAGUGCAGUGAAGUGACCUGCCAAGACAGAUGUCGUCCCCACACUUGAUGAGAGAAACAGAACACUCCGAAGAGGAAACAAGACUCGACAGGAACCUCGUUAAAGCCGUCUCUUCGCCAACAACCACUUCCUCUCGGUUCUGGUGAUGCUGUUUGGGCUCCAAGGGUCACGGCCAUAACAACGUUCUUCCUUCAUCCGGUCAUUUUGAAACUCUGCAAGUGAUGCCAUCUCACAAGGGAAUCAAAGGGAAAACAAAAGUCUUCCCGGUUCCCAUUUGUCAUGGUUACCAUGCCAACUAGUUUAGAAGAGCAACUAAUAUUGCCUUAGUGACCUAAGAUCCCAGCAUUGGGUUCUUUCUGCCUUGUGGUUCUUGGUAAUUGAAGCGAGGGCGUCUGGACCACCGGGAUGCAUCCAUAACCUUGAGCUCAAUGGUGACGGUGACCUCAGCAGUUUAAAAAAGGAGAACGGAAAACGUCCAGGUCCGUGUGUCAGUGUGCGCUUUCCCUGUCUAUGUCUGGUAAGUGGCAUGAUCCUGAACAGCAGGCCCCACAGUGUAAAAACUGGGUCAGGUCCUCGGCACCCCUGCGGAUGGGCUUUGUGGUAAUACAGGUCAGCAUGAACCGUCCACUUGACUUUCUGUUCAGAUUAUUUUUCUUAACUUCGCUUUUCUGUUUGCUGGUCUUACCCUCCUGUGGGGCUGCGGACUGAUGUGUUCAACUGGCAUUAGAAUCCUGUCCGGCCUCCCGGACAGGAUUCUCUGCAGUUAGUCCCGAGCUCAACACGCAUCAUGAAAAGAGACGAGAACGGAAUCGUCCAGAGUGUGUUCCUGGGCACUCUGACGCGGGCCUUUCUGAACGGAAGGCUGCCUUCCUUGGUCAGCACCCUUGGCAUCCAGGCGUUCAAAACAGAAGCCAGUCCCAGAGUGCCGUGGUGUGCAGCGGGAGAAAAUCCCCAGGACAUGCUGUCUACACCGAGGGUCCUAGUUCUGCCCGUGAAUUUGGAGAAGUCACUCGGCUUCUCCCCGCCUGCUUCCUCGCUGUCAGUCAAGGACCUAGUGUCUUGUCCUGCUGCCGCCAGAGUCUCUAGUGAGGAUCAUACAGAAGGUGCGCUUUGAAACGGCGUCCGAGCCCUCUCUCCAUUGAGAGGGCUGACUGCUCACCCGCUCACCUCUUCUUGACAGUUGGGGGCCAGUUCUGCGCGGGGAAUGGCGGCUUCCAGGGGGCAGCUUGUGACACAGCCGGGUGGUUUCCGAGGGCUGCGUCCGAGCAGGAGUGACGCGCGCCUACGACUAGGUGUCUGGUGGCAGCAUGUGUUCUUUGACGGGUCUUCUCUGAAGCCUGGUGAUUCUGAGGGGCAGCGGGAAAAGCGCCAGACUAAUAGCCAAGGGACAUGCGUUCUGGUCCCAGCUCUGUCGUGAAACGACUGCCUGACCUUGAGCAAGUCGCUUCAUUCCUCUGGGUCGCAGCUUUCUGCACUGUCCACUGUUGCAGAGGUUCUUCAGUGUCUUCUGGUUCAGAUACUCUUAACUCUUUAGUUCCUACGUUCCCAUUCAUCUGAAUGUAGCCUAAUCGUUCUGUUUUUUUUUUUUUUUUUAACUCCCUCUAAUGCUGAGUGGGAUCGAAUGAUGCAGGUGGCUUUGGGAAUCUUCUGCUAUGUGGAAGUGGUUGAUAAACUAUGCAAGCUCAAGGCCAUUGCCCAGAAGACCGUGCGAGCAGGUUCUUCCGCCACUGGCCGCUGCCUGUGCACCUACAGGACCUGCGUGCAGGAGGCCUCGCCGGUGCACCUCAGGGUCACGGGUCCGUGUGGAGACAGAUGGCGGGACAGCUGACACACAGCCAGGGGCUGAAGCAGAACGGGACAGAGACGGGGGACACGCUGCUGUGCGGUCCCUUGGCAGCUCUGUGCAGAUUAAGGCUGGAGCGACUGCGACAGAAAAGGAGGGAGUUGCGGGCGGUGCCUCUUGCUAGUGUCCCGAAGUUCCCCUGACCCCCGGCAUUUCUAGCUCAUGGAAACUAGAAGGAGCUUUUGGUGUCCCUCUUCCUCUGCUCUGGCCAUCCGCCUUUGGACAUGGAUGCCUGGGGGCACAGGGGCCCCUAAGUCAAGGGUAAGCACAGGAAGGGGAUGCUAACAGCUUCCUGACCAGAGGCCAUCAGGAGGGGGUGGAGCUGAACCCUGGAGAAGUGAAAGCAUGUCUGUCUGCCCCAGGCGGCUCGAACCCUCUGGCCCUGCCGGUCGGCCAAGGCUGCCAGAGUGCAGAGAAAGUCUGAAGGGAGGUAGCACGGGAGCAGUUUGGAGACCAGCCCCAGGCCGACACCAGGCGUCCCCACGGAGCCGGGGAGGUGGCCCUGGACAGUGGUAGGUACCAGCACUGGUGCCAUGCUCCUCUGCCCCCUCCAAGCCCUUGGGGGUGUUAAAGAGGAAGUCAGAAAGGCAGCCGGGCAGUUCACAACACACUGGCAGCCGAGCCGGUGCUGGGGGUGACCGCGGAGGGGGGAGCAGCCCCGGAAGAACCAGCAGCACAUGCAGACAACCAGGCCAGGGGUGAGCGGAGAGAAUCCACAGACUCAGAAGAAUCAGAGAGAAAGACAGCAAUUGAAGUUUAAAAAAGUUAUACCUUGAUGGUGGACGUUCGUGCGGACAACAGGGGAUCAUCCGCAAGAUAGGACAACCCCUGCGGGACGGCAUGCCAACAGAAGACAGAAACACCACUGACUGCACAUUCCGGCAUUCCCAAGCUCAGUGUCCACAUCCGGUCCCCGUCCCGGCAUUCCGCCCCCAGGCUCCGGCACGACCUGCUCACACCCAACAUUCGCUCCUUCCCUCCCCACGCCCCUCCCUGAAACCCAGCAUUCCGUCUCUCCCGUCAGGACAUCCCAUCCCCGCAGUCCGACAUUCUCCCCCUUGGAUUCAGCAUGCCGCCCCUCGCGGCCAGCAUUCCAGCCCUCGAUCCCCAGAUCUCAUUUCUUCAGUGCCAGCAUUCCAGCCCUUCAGACCCAAAUGGCCCCACCCGCCCCACCCGGCACGUGCAGUGGGGAGGGUGGCCGGUCUGGUUGGCGCCUCCAGCAAGCGCUGACUUGGAGAGAGAUUCUGCGCCCACGUGCAGCACUGGGUGCUAAGGCAGGUUGGGUGAGUCUGGAGACUAGGGUUUACAGACUGCCCCCCACUGCGGAAGUCCUCCCUGGGCUCAGCCGCCACCCACAGUGUCAUCUAAGAUCCGUCCCCUAUACUGAGGCGGCUGGGAUAUGGGACGUGAGAAUUAGAAGGUUCUUCCUUACUGCGCUGAGCCGGGGCUGCAGGGUGUUUGGGGAGGGAGGUUCUGGAGAAGAGCAGGAAAGGGUUUCACUUCGUCGCAUUGGCUGUCCACCCUGAUGGCCCCGCCCUCCCUGCCAUUCCUGACAUGUGGGGCCAAGGGUCCGGGUUGGUCCAUUGCCCUUCCUUCCCAUCUGUCUGUGCGGCAGAGGCAUCAUUCCGCAUCCCCACUAGGAGGCCCUACACCACGCUGUUUGAACGGUGAGCCUUUUGAAAAUCUAAGCUCCCCGGACAGCAGGGUGACAAGAGGAAGCACAAAGAUCGAAUCCCUGUUUGGGGAAGGAAAUACACAUGCGAUGCCUCCUUACUUACCGUCUCCUGUUCCUAGAGGAAUGGAGGGAGCAAAGGGACCCACAAACUGCGUCCACUUAGCCCCAGAGGUAGGACAAAAAUCGACAUGCAUCUCUGCUGUCCCGUAGCAACCCGGGUCCGCUGGGCACCUACCAUCAGCUCCAGAGCCUCGUUGAGGAGCCCAUUGCGCUUGCUGUGCAGGUAGGCGUUGGAGCUGCCUGUUU